rnacentral:lncRNA from 13 species
GUGUGCAUGUGUUUGUGUGUGUGUAUGUGUGUGUGUGUGUGUGUGUGUGCGUGUGUGUGUACCAGUUAGUGCUCUGUCUUUUUAAGGUCCUUUAUUACUUAUGUAGGUAUUGAAGCUCAGCUAUAAUUUCCAGAUUCCAGGUGAAGAGAGAGGAAGAAGGGGAAACCAAAGGAUCACCCUGACUGAGGCAGCACCCUUUAAGGAUCUUCCUCAAAAUCCCAGUUAAGAACAAUAUCAGCAAAGUUUCGAGCUGAAUCUAAACUUUUGGUGGUAUCCAAGACUAAGGUUAGAAUUGAUCUGUGUGUCAUGGGACAAACAAAUUUACUCGAGAUCCUGGGCUUUUCAUUAUUGAUGUUGGGCUGUGCUCUCUACUCAACACACACACACACACACACACACACACACACACCAUUCAGAUUUCAAAUUUUAAUCUAAUCUGUUGUAGUCAUAACUGAUUCCGUCUUCAGGUCCUAUAUAUGAUGUUAGGGGACUGCUCUGUGCAUUUGCUCUUCUUUCUUACUCCCAGGAAUCACUGUAUACCUCAGAACUGGUUUGAAGAGCUAAGAAAAGGAGUACAGUGAAGAAGAAAACAAUGAUGGAGUCUUGCUCUGUGGCCAGGCUGGAGUGAAGUGGUGCAAUCUCAGCUGACUGCAACCUUUGCCUCCCAGCCACCCUUGCUGGAACUCCAGGCUCAUCUUUCUCCAUUACCUUCCCAAUAUUCCACCAUCCAGCAUUACCCAGUGGUUUCCAGUUUCUGCUGCCUCUGCCUACAACCCUGUCUCCAUCACCACCAUCUGAUGAGUCUGCCUUAGCUCUCAGCUUAGAGGCUUCACUUCCUCCUGAGGUUGCUUUCUCCCAAGUUAAAAACAGACUGAGAGCAUCCAAUCUAUGGGAAACACCAGAAAGGGCCAUCACAGAACCCAGAGGAGAAAAUAACAGACCCCUGUGUCACGAGUAUCACAUUCAGAUCUCCAUAAAUAAAGGCUCCUUCACAUCUGGAAUUAAUCAG